GUGCUCACUUCAGCAGCACGUAUACCAAAAUUGGACUGAUACAGAUAUUAGCAUGACCUCUGUGCAAGGAUGGCAUGCAAAUUUGUGAUGGGUUACUUUUUUUU
ensembl:snRNA U6 U6 spliceosomal RNA